GACGAACGCUGGCGGCGUGCCUAAUACAUGCAAGUAGAACGCACAGUUUAUACCGUAGCUUGCUACACCAUAGACUGUGAGUUGCGAACGGGUGAGUAACGCGUAGGUAACCUGCCUGGUAGCGGGGGAUAACUAUUGGAAACGAUAGCUAAUACCGCAUAAUAUUAAUUAUUGCAUGAUAAUUAAUUGAAAGGUGCAAUUGCACCACUACCAGAUGGACCUGCGUUGUAUUAGCUAGUAGGUGAGGUAACGGCUCACCUAGGCGACGAUACAUAGCCGACCUGAGAGGGUGAUCGGCCACACUGGGACUGAGACACGGCCCAGACUCCUACGGGAGGCAGCAGUAGGGAAUCUUCGGCAAUAGACGAAAGUCUGACCGAGCAACGCCGCGUGAGUGAAGAAGGUUUUCGGAUCGUAAAGCUCUGUUGUAAGAGAAGAACGGGUGUGAGAGUGGAAAGUUCACAC
rnacentral:rRNA from 1 species